GAUGAACGCUGGCGGCGUGCCUAACACAUGCAAGUCGAGCGAAUGGAUUAAGAGCUUGCUCUUAUGAAGUUAGCGGCGGACGGGUGAGUAACACGUGGGUAACCUGCCCAUAAGACUGGGAUAACUCCGGGAAACCGGGGCUAAUACCGGAUAACAUUUUGAACCGCAUGGUUCGAACUUGAAAGGAGGCUUCGGCUGUCACUUAUGGAUGGACCCGAGUCGCAUUCGGUAGUUGGUGAGGUAACGGGUGACCAAGGGAACGAUGCGUAGCCGACCUGAGAGGGUGAUCGGCCACACUGGGACUGAGACACGGCCCAGACUCCUACGGGAGGCAGCAGUAGGGAAUCUUCCGCAAUGGACGAAAGUCUGACGGAGCAACGCCGCGUGAGUGAUGAAGGCUUUCGGGUCGUAAAACUCUGUUGUUAGGGAAGAACAAGUGCUAGUUGAAUAAGCUGGCACCUUGACGGUACCUAACCAGAAAGCCACGGCUAACUACGUGCCAGCAGCCGCCGUAA
rnacentral:rRNA from 1 species